rnacentral:rRNA from 1 species
CAGUCGAGCGGUAACAGAAAAGAAGCUUGCUUCUUUUGCUNACGAGCGGCGGACGGGUGAGUAAUGCCUGGGAAUAUACCCUGAUGUGGGGGAUAACUAUUGGAAACGAUAGCUAAUACCGCAUAAUCUCUUCGGAGCAAAGAGGGGGACCUUCGGGCCUCUCGCGUCAGGAUUAGCCCAGGUGGGAUUAGCUAGUUGGUGGGGUAAUGGCUCACCAAGGCGACGAUCCCUAGCUGGUCUGAGAGGAUGAUCAGCCACACUGGAACUGAGACACGGUCCAGACUCCUACGGGAGGCAGCAGUGGGGAAUAUUGCACAAUGGGGGAAACCCUGAUGCAGCCAUGCCGCGUGUAUGAAGAAGGCCUUCGGGUUGUAAAGUACUUUCAGUUGUGAGGAAGGCGUUGGAGUUAAUAGCUUCAGCGUUUGACGUUAGCAACAGAAGAAGCACCGGCUAACUCCGUGCCAGCAGCCGCGGUAAUACGGAGGGUGCGAGCGUUAAUCGGAAUUACUGGGCGUAAAGCGCAUGCAGGCGGUCUGUUAAGCAAGAUGUGAAAGCCCGGGGCUCAACCUCGGAACAGCAUUUUGAACUGGCAGACUAGAGUCUUGUAGAGGGGGGUAGAAUUUCAGGUGUAGCGGUGAAAUGCGUAGAGAUCUGAAGGAAU